rnacentral:lncRNA from 1 species
UUUUUAUCCAUUGAAGUUUGUAAGGGUUAGGAUGAGGAGUAGGNGUUAAGCCUAGCUUUUCAACCAUUCUAGAGCUACAACAAUUACAACAAGAACCACUAUCCACAAUCAUAGAACAGGUAUUUUCAAGAACUUUGCAGCGAGUGUGGAAUAGGUUUUCUCGUUGAGUCUGUUCUAACUCAACAUGCUUUGCCUCGAGGAGUCUUCUAACCAUGAGAAGAUCUCCAUCACAAGGUGGAGCUUCAUGUUCCUCUUCAGAUGAGGACAACUCAGACACGCUAGAAGAGGACUUCUCACUUGGACUCUCAUGUUCAAGGAUAUAGGUUGACUUUUUGAAGUGACACUCAUUUGAAUAGUGUCCUCUUGCUCCACAUUUGAAACAUCUAGUCUCUCUAUCCUUGGUAUCUCUAGGUGGCUCUCUUGAAGUCCUUUGUUUUUUUCCCUUAUAGCUUUCUUUGUCUCUUUUUAGCUCUCUAUCUUUGCCUUUGAGCUUGUCUUGUGGUCUUUCUCGCUCUCUCUCCUUUGUUUCCUCAUAUCUUGGAAAGCUACCCUUCCUCUUAAGAUCUCUCCUAUAUGAUGAUGUGGUAAGGUAGGUUCUUUUGGUGGAAGCUUUUCUCUUAUUUUGUUCUUCUACUCUCACACAUAGCUGU